rnacentral:rRNA from 1 species
UACGGAAGGGGCAAGCGUUGUUCGGAAUCAUUGGGCGUAAAGGGCGCGUAGGUGGUUCUGUAUGUCUACCGUGAAAGCGUACGGCUCAACUGUAUUUUGUCGGUAGAAACUGCAGGACUUGAGGCUGGGAGGGGCUGGUGGAAUUCCCGGUGUAGCGGUGAAAUGUGUAGAGAUCGGGAGGAACACCGGUGGCGAAGGCGGGUCUCUGGGCAAUUCCUGACGCUGAGGCGCGAAAGCGUGGGGAGCAAACGGG